GUGGAACUGAAGGUCCACUUCUCCACCAUAAAGCCAGGGAAGUUUGAGCAGACGCUGAGGUUUGAGCUCGUGCAGACAAAGCGCCAGUACGAGCUGCCCUGCAGUGGCACCAGCCUGUACCCCAGCAUCAGCCAGAACCCACGGGUGGUGUUUCCACAGUGGAGGAAAACCAUGGAGAAAGAUGAAGUUGUCGUCAAGGAAUAUGUUGAGAGCACAAAGCAAUUCCACUUUGGGCCGCUGCUGUGUGGGAAAUCAAGAGAGUGGUACGAGGCCCAGAACUGUCCCGGCAACUCGGAGAAUUUAACCAUCCUGAACAACUCCCCCGUGGACGUAGAGGUCCAGUUCUCCUUUGAGAAUGCUGGGGGAGCAGAGACGUUCCUUUUGGACCCU